AUUAAUCACACUUCUUAAACACAUCUCUUGACCAGGGUGUUCUCACCAUGCCCUUUCUACAAACAAAAAGAAGGCAAUGUAUCGCAUCCUGUAUUACCUUCCCCUGACCUCAUAGCUUCCCAAAACAGGAACAAUCAUGGGCUUGGAAGUAAAGAAUGAAGAUGUGGAGACUUGGAGACAGGUGGCACCUCGUGCUUCCUCCGAAGGGAGAGCCCAUUUCCUAACAGCUGGAUCAAAGGCAUGAAAUGAACAUGGAGUCCCUGAAGACGAAGAGAAGGCAUGGCUUCCAGGGAGAAAUUGUACAUUACAGGAAUGCAGAUAUGAUUCCUAUGGAUGAGGGUAACCUAGAGGCUAGAAGAACAAUAGGACAGAAGAAGCCUGGGUCCCUGAACAACCUUGUGGAGCAUAGACACCUACGUGGCCUGGACUGCCAGCUCACAAUGGGCCUGUCCGUGAGAGAAGGAAACUUCCCUCUUGUUUAAGCAACUGUACUUUUGAGAAUCUCUUGGUC
rnacentral:lncRNA from 1 species